CGGACUCAGCAGUGGCCACCGCGCCCGUCCCGAUUUCCCCUUCUCGAAGCGGUGAUUGCCCGUCCAGCGCCUGGUCUGGUCGGAGACCGAGCGGACCCCGGCCGAGGGAGCGUCCCUCGCGUUCCUGAAACCACGUUUCCAGUGUCCCCGCCUGGACGGGGCGCGGGCCUCGCAGGCCCGGCGGAGCCUGUGGCCCCAGAACCAAGCCCCUCGGGACCCAUGUGCAUCAUCUUCUUCAAGUUCGACCCUCGCCCUGCUUCCAAAAAUGCGUACAGGCUCAUCCUGGCCGCCAACAGGGACGAGUUCUACCACCGGCCGGCCAGGGCCGCGGACUUCUGGGGGAGCAACAACGAGGUCCUCAGCGGGCUGGACAUGGAGGAAGGCAAGGAGGGCGGCACGUGGCUGGGCAUCAGCACGCGGGGCAAGCUGGCCGCGCUCACCAACUACUUGCAGCCGCGGCUGAACCAUGAUGCCCGGGGCCGAGGUGAGCUCGUGGCCCAGUUCCUGACCUCGGACAUGGACAGCUUGUCCUACCUGAAGAAGGUCUCGGCCGAGGGCCAUCUGUACAAUGGCUUCAACCUCGUCGCGGGCGACCUGAGUGCAGAGAAGGGAGACGUCAUUUGCUACUAUGGAAACCGGGGGGAGCGGGAGCCUGUCGUCCUGGCGCCAGGGACCUACGGGCUGAGUAACGCGCUGCUGGAGACGCCCUGGAGAAAGCUGUGCUUCGGGAAGCAGCUCUUCCUGGAGGCUGUGGAGCGGGGCCGGGAGCUCCCCAGGGAGGCACUGGUGGCCCAGCUCCUAGACGUGCUCAGCAACGACGAGGCGCAGCUGCCAGACCCGGCCAUCGAGGCCCAGGGCAGGGAGUACGUGCGGCCCAUCCUCAGCAAGUACGCGGCCGUGUGCGUGCGCUGCCCGGACUACGGCACCAGGACCAACACGGUCAUCCUCGUGGAUGCCGAUGGGCACGUGACCUUCACGGAGCGCAGCAUGCUGGGCUCGGACCCCACCCGCUGGGAGGCCGUUACCCAUGAGUUCCGGCUGCAGAGCUAGCCCGCAGCCGCUGUGGCUGGGGCUCCCGGGAGGCCCUGCCACAGGUACUGCCCAUGACCCAGCCAGCAUCCCCCAGGGCAGAGCCCUCUGUGUGAGCCGUCUGCGCCCCUGGGUCCAGCUCGGGGUCCAGUCUUAGGCCCUGGAAAUGACAGCUGCCUGCAGUCAGGGUGCCCGGCCUCCCCUGCCCGUGUGCAGAGCCCCAUGUGAUACACAUCACGCAGGCGUGCACACACUGCGGGCCACAGGCAUGUGCACACGUGCUCAGACGCACACGUGCUCCAGGCGUGCCGCCCGCAAGAGCCGGCCCCGCGGCGAGAGCCUCUCACCCUCCUGUGCUUUGUCCUGUGAGUCUCGCCGCGAUCCAGACACAAGAGUGGACGUCCGCUUCGGAGCAGCCCCUCCUGUCCUGGCCGUGGCCCUCGCUGCCCCCAGCCCUGCUCCUGGAAGGGGACAGGGCGUCUGGAGGGAUGGAAGCCUCUCCCUAGAGAGACGCAGCCUGGGGCCGUCCAUGAGGGGCGCCCGUGCGCCCUGCGCUGCCCGGGGCUCCCGGGCUCCAGGCAGGCCCGUCUCAGGGAGGGCACACAGAGGCCCCUGCUGUCCUUCUCCUCCCGAGAAACUGCGUGGCGUAGGACUCUGUGUGUGAAUGGGGGAUGCUGACAAUAAAACUGAGGCCGGUGCAUUCCACGCCUUGACUGUGA